rnacentral:rRNA from 1 species
UUGGGAGCUCACUGGCUUCAGAGUCAUGGAAACUCCGAAGUUAAGCGAGUUAGGGCUAUAGCAAUCCCAUGAUGGGUGAUCCACUAGGAAGUUGCCAGUGAGUUCCCAGA